UACAGAGACUGCAAGCGUUAUUCGGAUUCACUGGGCGUAAAGGGUGCGCAGGCGGCCAUGUGUGUGAGGCGUGAAAGCCCGGGGCUUAACCCCGGAAUUGCACCUCAAACUACAUGGCUAGAGCAUUGGAGAGGGUAGCAGAAUUCAUGGUGUAGCAGUGAAAUGCGUAGAUAUCAAGUGGAACACCAGUGGCGAAGGCGAGUCUCUGGACGAUUCCUGACACUGAGGCACGAAAGCCAGGGGAGCAAACGGG
rnacentral:rRNA from 1 species